rnacentral:rRNA from 1 species
UCGGGAAUUUUGGGCAAUGGGCGAAAGCCUGACCCAGCAACGCCGCGUGAGGGAUGAAGUAUUUCGGUAUGUAAACCUCGAAAGAAUGGGAAGAAUAAAUGACGGUACCAUUUAUAAGCUCCGGCUAACUACGUGCCAGCAGCCGCGGUAAUACGUAGGGAGCAAGCGUUGUUCGGAUUUACUGGGCGUAAAGGGCGCGUAGGCGGCGCGGUAAGUCACUUGUGAAAUCUCUGAGCUUAACUCAGAACGGCCAAGUGAUACUGCUGUGCUAGAGUGCGGAAGAGGCAACCGGAAUUCUUGGUGUAGCGGUGAAAUGCGUAGAUAUCAAGAGGAACACCUGAGGCGAAGGCGGGUCGCUGGGCCGACACUGACGCUGAUGCGCGAAAGCCAGGGGAGCAAACG